rnacentral:lncRNA from 1 species
CACAGUAAUACAUUUUAUUUGGUGUAGGGACGAACAUUAACAAGUUCUGUGUAUAUAUGUACGUGUUAUUGUAAGCGAGUCAUCGGUGAAUAAAUAUAAUAUUUUCGCCGAUUCCAUUUUCUUUGAAAUUAAAAAUCGCUGGCAAGGUCCUAAAACAGCCGGCUAUCGCCGGAAGCCGGCGGCUAUUUCGAACCCUGCGGUAACUCGUUCAGUCAUUGCAACGGUGCAUUUUAUAUAAUUGACCAUAAAAGCUCACAAGCGUGCCAGUCGAUGUGGAGGAAAUUAUGUUAAAUACAAAUGACUGAAUGGAACCGGACAUUUUGCGGUUGCAGAAAAUAAAACGCACGUGUUUGAAUGAAAAAACUCUUAUCAUUAUUACCAAGCAAGCUUUAAAAACUUCCCAGCAUUUACAGCUGUAUAGUAUUACACUGAUAAUUGUUUACUUAAAAGGCUCCAAAAUUGACAUACAUCCUCGUUCACUACUAAACAACAUGUUAUGUUUUGCAAUUAAUUAUGUACCAGGCAAUAAUGGACGGAAAUACUCAAUACACCGCAAAAACGAAGGGUUCGACAUUAUCUACAGACUUAAAUACUUUUCUCUAGGAAGAAGUUCAAAACGUAAAUCUCAAUCAAUCCCAGAAAAUUCUGAGAAAGUAAGUGUGCACAAUUUCAAUUUGCGAGCCUUAUUGUCGAAGCACAAAUAUCACAUGACCGGAAAUGGCGAUUUAUUCAACAAGUCAACCUCGUACCCAGGCCUUUGCGCGGUUCAGACUCCUUUACCAGAGCCUCCGAACCGCGCAAAGGCCUUGGGUACGAAGUUGAGAUUAAGUUUGGUUUAACAAAAUACGUUCUCCAAGAGUCUUCGUUGUGACAUGGUGGAUUGUUGAAAACCUAUUUUACUCCGAGAUGACGUCAACUUUAUAUAGUCUAGAUAAAAACUAGUUCGAGCUAUGCGUUAUUCUACGAGAUGCGUACGUGCUCGUGGAUAACGCUUGCAAGGUUUUCCUUAAGGUUCCUUCACAAGUUUCCUUUCUCGUGUGUACUGUCAACAAGUUUUCCUUCACAUGUUUCCUUUCUCGUGUUGGCACGGGAUGUUAUUAAACAUUUAUUUCACGGCAAGCCCGCGUUUUGUUUGCCAAAACCACAGAAGUAUUUCUUGGACACUUGUCAAGUUUUCCUUGGCGGUCGAACACACAAACAAAUUUUCCUUCUCCAAAAGCUGGCAUGAUUAUGCAUGGAUCAAUUCUUGUUGUUACCAUCCCCCCCCCCCGGGAUAAUGCAGAAACUUUAAUCCCGGGGGUGGGGAAUUGUUAGAAAAUUUUGUCCCGGGGGGUAAAAAGCAAAACUCGUAUCCAGGACCAUGUUUUGACCGCGUAUCUAGCGGCUAGCGCAUCCAGUGACAUGUAUAUAGUUCAGUGAGCGCACGUCCAAAAAUUUUCAAAAUGGCGACUACCUCGUGUUUGGCAGUUGUUUAUAUAAUCUGUGAUAUAAUCGUGUUAUAGUGACUAUAGUUUAUAAUACCAAGUAUUUAAUCGGUAUAUAUAAACGCACUUUUCAAAUUUUACAUAUGUUUAUACGAAGGAUAUUAAAUGUGUGUUAUAAACUGCUGAUUGAUAUUUCUUAUUUUUAGUUUUUUAGUGAUGCCCCGGGGUGGGGAAUUGUCAAGUUUUAAAGGCCCGGGGUGGGGAAUUUACUACAUUCUUGCAAAAAAAUACAAAUCCCGGGGGGGGGAUGGUAACAGCUGGAAUUGAUCCAUGCAUUAGCUUUGGAAGAAGGCUGCUUGGCAAAGGAAAAAUUGUUAAUCUUUUGCUGUUCUCACGAGCAAAUAAAACUUGUCAAGAAAAACUUGUCAAAGACAAACUGUACGGCGCUUAAUAGUUUACAGUACUGUACAUUGUACAUUGUACAUUCGACUUGUACUUCAGACUUGUAUUGCAGACGACAAGUACUAGCAGACAACGCACUGGACAUUGUUUUACAGUAUUGUACAUACGAUUACAUCAACUCCAGGUCAUCCAUUAAGUCAUAUCUUCGAAAUUUAUCCAAGUUGUAGAAACCAGCUUUGACCGUGCGACCUCCAAAAUAUCUGCCAUUCAGGUCAAUAAUAGCU